rnacentral:lncRNA from 1 species
CUGCUUUGAAGUUUAAGAGUGAGAACUCUUUACAAGAAGAAAGAGCAAGGGGAGGGACCAGAGAAUGGAAACCAGAGCUUUUACCUUAAUUUUUUUUUAAAAAUUAUCCUAACUAAGAAUUCUACUAUGUUCAAUUGCUCAUGAAGAUAUUGCAUGGCUUUUCAAAAAGAGAUAGGAUCAUGGAGUGUUCGAUGAAGAUGGAAUUUUCUUUUCUGUUGAGUUAAAAAAGUGGAAGUAGGGCUUUUCUUUUUUUUUCUGAUAUAUAUUGAGAACACCCUCAAUUAAUUAAUUUCAAGAAGAUCGCUUAAUUAUUAAUUGACAACUCAUCAAGCCACAUUAGCUGUCCCAUAUUUCUGUUAUUUAAAGAUAUAAAUAAUAGUUUCUAAUAUUUAUUAAUUUAUUAUUUUAAUAAAAUAUAUGUGCAUGAAAUGGGUUGUAUUUAUAUAUUGAAUAUAUAAAGUUAGCUCCAAAAGACCCCAUAAUUCACUAGGUGGACAACUAAUCAUCUCAUGUGUAAAACAAUAAUAAUAAUAAUAAUCUAUACAAUACAUUAAAGGAAAGCCGAUGGUGUCCCAAAACGAUAAAUGCCAGAAUGGGGUUUGCUUAGGUGUCGGCAUCAAAGGAUUCUGUGUGUGGUCAUCCAUCUAUUUGAUUCGGAGUUUAGAAAGAGUCCGAUGCUGUGAUGUUCCACUGUAGGAGAGAGUCCUC